UUUUAAAUAAAAAAAGGGCAUUUGGUGGAUGCCUUGGCGCCAGGAGGCGAUGAAGGACGUAGUACGCUGCGAUAAGCUUCGGGGAGAUGCGAACAAUCUUUGAUCCGAAGAUUUCCGAAUGGGGAAACCCACCUGUUUUUACAGGUAUCGUAUGAUGAAUAAAUAAAUCAUAUGAAGCAAACCCAGUGAACUGAAAUAUCUUAGUAGCUGGAGGAAAGGACAUCAACCGAGACUCCGUUAGUAGUGACGAGCGAACGCGGACCAGGCCAGUGGCUUAAAGGAAAUAAUUAGAAUGACUUGGAAAAGUCAGCCAUAGAAGGUGAUAGCCCUGUAUAAGUAAAAGACUUUAAGUCCUUGAGUAAGGCGGGACACGUGAAAUCCUGUCUGAACGUAGGGGGACCACCCUCUAAGCCUAAGUACUCCCUGGCGACCGAUAGUGAACAAGUACCGUGAGGGAAAGGUGAAAAGAACCCCGACUAGGGGAGUGAAAUAGUAUCUGAAACCAAAUGCCUACAAGCAGUCGGAGCAUUUUUUUGUUUUUUGGAAUAAAAAUAAUGUGACGGCGUACCUUUUGUAUAAUGGGUCAGCGAGUUAGUUUGUCGAGCAAGCUUAAGCCGUUAGGUGUAGGCGUAGCGAAAGCGAGUCUUAAUAGGGCGUAUAGUUCGACGAAUUAGACCCGAAUCCGGGUGAUCUAGCCAUGAUCAGGUUGAAGGCGCAGUAACAUGCGCUGGAGGACCGAACCCAUUAAUGUUGCAAAAUUAUGGGAUGAAUUGUGGCUAGGGGUGAAAGGCCAAUCAAACUCGGAAAUAGCUGGUUCUCCGCGAAAUCUAUUUAGGUAGAGCGUUGUAUGGUUACCACAGAGGGUAGAGCACUGGAUAGGCUAGGGGGGCCCGAAGCCCUACCAAACCCAACCAAACUCCGAAUAGCUGUGAGUAUAGUACAACAGACAGACUAUGGGUGCUAAGGUCCGUAGUCGAGAGGGAAACAGCCCAGAUCGCCGUCUAAGGUCCCUAAAUUAUGGCUAAGUGGUAAAGGAUGUAGGAAGGCCAAAACAACUAGGAGGUUGGCUUAGAAGCAGCCAUCCUUUAAAGAAAGCGUAACAGCUCACUAGUCUAAAUAAGCCUUCUUGCGCCUAAAAUGUAACGGGGCUUAAGCCAUAUACCGAAGACGCGGGUGUAUAUCAUUGGAUAUACGCGGUAGCGGAGCGUUCUGUAAGUCUGUGAAGGUGAUUCGUGAGAAUUGCUGGAGAUAUCAGAAGUGAGAAUGCUGACAUGAGUAGCGACAAAGAAUGUGAGAAACAUUCUCGCCGGAAGUCCAAGGUUUCCUGCGUAAAGUUAAUCUGCGCAGGGUUAGUCGGCCCCUAAGGCGAGGCCGAAAGGCGUAGUCGAUGGGAAUCAGGUUAAUAUUCCUGAACCUGUAGGAAGUGACGGAGAUUGAACGUUGUAUGUUCUUAUUGGAUUGAAUAUGCAGCUUAAAUCUUCCAGGAAAUAGCUCCUACGUAUAGACCGUACCCCAAACCGACACAGGUGGACAAGUAGAGUAUACUAAGGCGCUUGAGAGAACGAUACUGAAGGAACUAGGCAAAUUGCACCCGUAACUUAGGGAGAAGGGUGGCCUUUAUAUGGGUAACCAUGUAAAGGUGGCACAAAGCAGGGGGUAGCGACUGUUUAACAAAAACACAGGGCUCUGCAAAGUCUAUAAGACGACGUAUAGGGUCUGACGCCUGCCCAGUGCUGGAAGGUUAAGAGGAGAGGUGCAAGCCUUGAAUUGAAGCCCCAGUGAACGGCGGCCGUAACUAUGACGGUCCUAAGGUAGCGAAAUUCCUUGUCGGGUAAGUUCCGACCCGCACGAAUGGCGUAACGACUUCCCCACUGUCUCCAGUAUCGACUCAGCGAAAUUGGAUUCUCCGUGAAGAUACGGAGUACCCGCGGCUAGACGGAAAGACCCCGUGCACCUUUACUACAGCUUUGCAGUGGUAUUAGGGAUUGGAUGUGUAGGAUAGGUGGAAGGCUAUGAAGUAAUGACGCCAGUUGUUAUGGAGCCGUCCUUGAAAUACCACCCUUUCAAUCCCUGAUAUCUAACCAUGACCCAUGAAACUGGGUUUGGGACCCUGCAUGGUGGGUAGUUUGACUGGGGCGGUCGCCUCCCAAAAAGUAACGGAGGCGCGCGAUGGUAAGCUCAAGCUGGUCGGAAAUCAGCUUUUAGAGUGUAAUGGCAUAAGCUUGCCUAACUGCGAGACUGACAAGUCGAGCAGAGACGAAAGUCGGUCAUAGUGAUCCGGUGGUUCCACGUGGAAGGGCCAUCGCUCAACGGAUAAAAGGUACGCCGGGGAUAACAGGCUGAUGAUUCCCAAGAGUUCAUAUCGACGGAAUCGUUUGGCACCUCGAUGUCGGCUCAUCACAUCCUGGGGCUGGAGCAGGUCCCAAGGGUUCGGCUGUUCGCCGAUUAAAGUGGUACGUGAGCUGGGUUCAGAACGUCGCGAGACAGUUCGGUCCCUAUCUACCGUGGGUGUAGGAAAUUUGAGAGGAUCUGUCCUUAGUACGAGAGGACCGGGAUGGACGUACCUCUAGUGCACCAGUUGUCGCGCCAGCGGCACGGCUGGGUAGCCAUGUACGGACGGGAUAACCGCUGAAAGCAUCUAAGCGGGAAACCCACCUCAAAACUAGAUUUCCCCAUUAGAGCCGUGAUAGACCAUCACGUUGAUAGGUUGGGUGUGUAAGCACGGUAACGUGUUAAGCUAACCAAUACUAAUAGCUCGAUUGAUUUAAAUUU
rfam:Rickettsiales bacterium Ac37b, complete genome.